UACGUAGGUGGCGAGCGUUGUCCGGAUUUACUGGGCGUAAAGAGCGCGCAGGCGGUCGUACAAGUCGCGUGUGAAAGCCCCCGGCUCAACUGGGGAGGGUCACGCGAUACUGUUCGACUGGAAGGCAGGAGAGGGAAGUGGAAUUCCCGGUGUAGUGGUGAAAUGCGUAGAUAUCGGGAGGAACACCAGUGGCGAAGGCGACUUCCUGGCCUGUUCUUGACGCUGAGGCGCGAAAGCUAGGGGAGCAAACGGG
rnacentral:rRNA from 1 species